rnacentral:tRNA from 1 species
GCGUGAUUAGCUCAGUUGGUAGAGCACCUGACUCUUAAUCAGGGUGUCCAGGGUUCGA